rnacentral:rRNA from 1 species
GACGAACGCUGGCGGCGUGCUUAACACAUGCAAGUCGAACGGAAAGGCCCUGCUUUUGUGGGUUGCUCGAUUGGCGAAGGGGGGAGUAACACGUGAGUAACCUCCCCUUGACUUUGGGAUAACUUCAGGAAACUGGGGCUAAUACCGGAUAGGAGCUCUUGCUGCAUGGUGGGGGUUGGAAAGUUUCGGCGGUUGGGGAUGGACUCGCGGCUUAUCAGCUUGUUGGUGGGGUAGUUGCUUACCAAGGCUUUGACGGGUAGCCGGCCUGAGAGGGUGACCGGCCACAUUGGGACUGAGAUACGGACCAGACUGCUACGGGAGGCAGCAGUCGGGAGUAUUGCACAAUGGGCGGAAGCCUGAUGCAGCAACGCCGCGUGCGGGAUGCCGGCCUUCGGGUUGUAAACCGCUUUCGCAUGUGACGAAGAGGGCGUGACGGUAAUGGGUCAAGAAGCACCGGCUAACUACGUG